CCACAGAACAGCCAGUUCGCCGGAUCCUUCUCCACGGUGCCGCACGGCGGCACCAUGACCGGCUCCGCCACGACGAAGCCGGUCGUGUCGUGCCGCUUCAAGCUCCAGGAGCUCAUCCAAGACCUCAACUGCAACAGGAGCAAGAUGCUCAACAUCACCCUCGUCCCGGUCGAAGGUGACAAGACCAUCGUCGACAACCUGCGCGUCGAGCUUUGCUGAUCUAUCGGACUAAUUAAGAUACAUUUAUAAAUGCGGCGUUCAUAUCCCCAACAUAUCCAGGGCACUCGGAAAUUAUGUGACGACUAUUGCAUGUACUAGUAGAAAAAUAAAAGAGUCCAAUUCUUAUC
rnacentral:lncRNA from 1 species